UUCUGGAUUGGAGGGUUUAGAGGAUAAUAAAUGCUCAUUAACUUGAUUUCAGUCUCUUUAGUAUUUAGAUCCAAAUAUGGAUGAGGCUAGCAAGUUUUAGUCCCACUACUUUUAGUUCUGGGACUAAAACUACUUUUAGUCAUGGGACUAAAAGGUAUCAAGCACCCUCUAAGUCCCUCUCAAGUCUCACAAGUCACACAACCCUCACCUAAAAAAAAGUCUCACAACCCUCGACGCCACUUCGCCGCCGCAUGCUCCGCCCACUGCUCGCUCCUUCAUCUGCUGCUGCGGCGACGGCGACCUCCAUGGCCUCCACCGCUACGUCCCUCUGUCCACCGACCCCACAGGCCACAACCCUAAAUCCCACGGCCACCCCUUCCCCUCGUCAUCCAUGACCUCUGCCUCCGCCUUCCACAGCCGCACAUGAUUGUGCCUCUGAUUAUCGACGCGCUCAUUACCCCAAUGCCUUCAGCUGAAAAUGUUCCCCAAGGCUGUACAGCCGGCGCCUUGAUGUCCAUGCCGUAGGCCGGCGCACCUCCAACUCCGACGGCUCUACGAGGCUCUCCGGAUCCACAUCCGCAGCAGAUGGACAGUCUUUGGUGCAUUCCCGGGUAUUGCGAUCGACACACAUUCACCCAUCAUAUGUUGAAUGAAAUAUGCAUCCAGAGUCCAGCAAGUUUGUGCUGGACUAACCUGGAUACAUGCAUCAAACGUAUAUUAAGGUAUUGCUUAUACAAGUUCUCAGGGAAGUAAAGAAAUGCUGCAGUAGGCAACGUACAUGAGCGUAUGAUUCUUAGUUUCUAACUGUAUGUUAUUUUACGGUCUCCUAACUAUUAGUGGCACAUGUUUGGUGUUUGCAUUUCUCCGCUAACCAACAGAGCUCUGUUUUACUGAUAUUUCUGCCGUUUCUGCUAUGUACUUUUAAUAAUCGUAUUGUUAGUAAAACUAAAAAUACUUUGGUAUAGUCUGGCGAAAUUAGGGUGUCUAAUAUUAGCAUAGGUAAGGUAGUUUCGUAAGUUGACACACCAAGCGAUUGGUUAACGAUUAUCUGCUUUGUCCUUGGUCUUGCAUAGAGAACAUUAUCCUAGCAUGUUUGUUUGGUGCUGGUAAAAAAACUUGGUUCCAGCAUUCAGCAUAGUGCAUCUCCAUUUGAGGUUUGCACUAAAACUUGCUGGAACACAGGAAACUUAACCAAGAUCCUUUCUUUUCCUAUAUGGGCCAAGGAGCAGCUGCCGCUAUUGCCUUCUCUUCCUCUUCCUGUUCCAAGCGGCAGUGGCUCCUCCUGCCGUGCUUGUUGCUACACCACUGCGGCGCCCUCCCCUCCGAUAUUGGCCUCUUCUGUGUGGCUACCAUCAUGGGGGUGAAGGGCUGCGGUUGCCAGAGGACACGGCACCCGAUGAUGGCAUGAUCCUCCUCCAUCGCCUCCCUCUGCUUCAUCUUCUCCUUGAAGUCAGCGAGCCGAUAGUGAGGUUCCUGGCGGCAGCAGACAGUUCAUCCACAUUGUAGCGGCCGUGGCAGCAGGUGCUCCGGUCCACUGGUUUUCUUUUUCUUUACCUGAACUUCCUCCAGAUCCUUUUUUUUUUGGUCAUUCAGUUUUCUCCAUUGUUUCUGCAUGUGGUUGACAAUAGCACCAAUUGGAUAUGAAUAUUCUUUUUAUUUAUAUGAAACUAUCUUGCAAAUAGUUCAUGUUAUUAGUCCAACACCUGCUAAAUUUGUUGCUCUGUGAGUUGGAUCCUGAAUUUUUCUGCAACCCAGAAUAGCUUAGAAAUUUCGGCAGCUGUGUUAUCUGCCCAAAUAUCCAUCAUUGCGUAGUUCUGCAUUUUUUGCUGCUCAGCUGGAUCAUGAAGUUUGUUACCUCCUGGUUUAUAUGGUUAGUCAUUGCGCAAUAGUCAGCCUAAGUGGAUUUGUUCCAUGCCAUUUUAGUCAAUAACGUGCUGUUUAUUUGUGUUGGCAAUGGUAGGUAGUCAAACUUUCGAUCUUUUUACUGCUAAUACCUUUUAACACUAGAACAUGAAAAUGAGAAGUGUGAAUUUGUCUCAAAAGGUACUUUACCACUUUAAUUUUUUUGGAAUUCAUAAAUUUAUUGUUAUAAAAAUCCGCGGUCAAAGUUAUGUUCUCAAAACCCUGUCAAUGUUCAAAGUGGCCUUUUUAAGGGGACCAGGGAGUACUUAUACAACAUUAUUCACACAGUGCAUUAUCCUUAUCAUGCAUAUUUCUUCUUGACUUGUUCUGAAUUCGAACCAGAAGAUAGGGCUGCCUGAUUAGAUUAUUGGGAAUGGUGCAAUGUAGUGAUCUCCAAAUACUAAUUCAUUCAGGGAAAUCGUCCAGUGUUUUGGUUUGGUAAAUGUUUCUUUUGUUCCAAUAAAACUACAGGUUUGAUUGAUGGCUGGUUGGAUGGGUUUAAUCUUUACAAGAAAUAUUGACAUUUAAUCCUACUGACUGUGCACCCGUGCAAAAAUUGGAUAUUGUUUUUGUAGGGUGGAGCUACUUAAUCUGCAAGAUGUCAACCGAAGAAGACGCUCUGCCAACAACCUCACAAUAGAUCAGUUAUGGAUAUUGCUCCAACUAAUAUGAACCAGACCACACCCCAUCCAACUAGCCGGUGAUCGAUGUAUUCGUUUGCAGUGUGUGACAGUAGACAACCACUAAUCUAAAAAGGUCGAGUCGAAGUGGUAUAACCAGUUGCAUCUUUCCAUGGCCGAUUUACCUUGAGUUUGUAUGUGUGCCUGGGGGUCAUUCUUUCAAUACAUCUUUCUCCACAGGUUCCUUGCCGCAAGUCAAUGGAGAUGUUCAAGAAGUUGACGAGAGUUAUUCACAGUUUAGAUUGACAGUUAACAUAACUGCGGUUUUUUACAAGGAACAUAGAGUAAUAUUGUAGUAUCUUUCUGGACUUGUGAUUAUAAUUAGCAUUUUCAGUUUUGAAGCAUAAUUAGCAUACUAUACUUGACAUGUAAGACUGGUACACGUGUGAGUCAAAUAUUCUGUUGAUUUUCCAA